rnacentral:lncRNA from 1 species
AUGCAGUGUGGGCAUUGCCCAGCCCCUGGGGACUGCCCUGUCCCCAGUCAGAUCGCAGCCCUGCUGCCAGGCCUGCUUUUAGACAUUCCCCUCGGAGCAGGGGCUGCCAAGCCAAACCCCGGCUCUGGGAACCGCUGCUGGGCCCGUCCCUUCUGUCACGUUCCUGCAGAGCCCCGUGGGGCUCCCUGCUGGCCGUGCCCCCUGGGGAUGCCCCUGGCCCAUCCGCCGGGGAAAGCAGAGCCCCGGUGCCCGCGAUGGAGCCAGCCCCAGCCCCAGAGCCGCUCUGUGCCCUGCAGAAGGGUUGGUUGGCAGCCUUGGGCACAGCACAGCUGGGACAUGCAGCGGGCACAGCUUGGGGAAUGCAGCGGGCACAGCACAGCUGGGACAUGCAGCGGGCACAGCUGGGGAAUGCAGUGGGCACAGCUGAGGAAUGCAGCGGGCACAGCACAGCUGGGGAAUGCAGCGGGCACAGGGGGGAAUGCAGCGGGCACAGCUGGGAAAUGCAGCGGGCACAGCACAGCUGGGCAAUGCAGGGGGCACAGCUGCGGGACGGGGCCCGCGGGAGCCGCGGCUUUUCCCUGCUGGCAGCGAUCCCAGGGCACGGAGCCCUUUCCCAGGCACGGAGGGCUCUCAGACCAGCUCCCGGCUCAGUGUGUUCGUGUUUUGGUGCGGUUUCCAUGGAGCCCUGACCCCGGCAUGCUUUGGGGACAAGGCUGCGGUGUAAAUCAGAGCGGUGGCGCUCUCGGCUCCUCCCCUGACCCGCAGCUCGGCCCUCGCUGCCCCAAUUUGCCGAGUUUGUCCCGUGCAGCAGCAGCGGUGCGGAGCUGGGGGUGCCCAUCGCUCCUCCGGGCCCACCAGAGCUGCCAGCAGCGCCCUCGGCACCAAUCCAUCUCCCCUUGCAACGCUUACUUCCCAUCAUUAAUUAACGAGCUUAAUAAGCCAGCCUCUCUGCUAGCCUGUGGCCAUGCCAGCAGGAUCCCACCAUGGGCUGGCUUUCCCCUUGAUUCCUUUAUAUUUCUUUUUUUUUAUAAUUUUUUUUUUUAUUUUUAA